GGACCCGCACAAGUAGUGGAGCAUGUGGUUUAAUUCGAAGAUACGCGCAGAACCUUACCAACACUUGACAUGUUCGUCGCGACUCUAAGAGAUUAGAGUUUUUCGGUUCGGCCGGACGAAACACAGGUGCUGCAUGGCUGUCGUCAGCUCGUGUCGUGAGAUGUUGGGUUAAGUCCGGUAACGAGCGCAACCCCUAUCCUUAGUUGCCAAUGAUGGAACUCUAAGGAGACUGCCGGUGUCAAACCGGAGGAAGGUGGGGACGACGUCAAGUCCUCAUGGCCCUUACGAUUGGGGCUACACACGUACUACAAUGCUACGGACAAAGGGCAGCAAGUUCGCGAGGACAAGCA
rnacentral:rRNA from 1 species